CCUUACGCAAGCCAUCCUUGGCAUUUACCGCAAUCGAUCACGGGUAGCCUUCACCAACUUCAACCCCCUCAUUUGAGGAAUUUUGGAUUCGUGAGUUCUUCAGACCAAAAAAUUUCAUUCGAAGUUAAGGGAAAAAAAGACAAGGAAUAAUUAUAUUAAGUGUUGACCCUGUUUUAAUCUACCAGAAAAAAUCAUUUCAUUGAUUUUCAAAAAUCACAAUUUCGUAACUUAAUUAUCUCAUUGUUUUAUUUAAUAGAACAAUUCGUUGCGUGCUUAAAAGUUUGAUUUAAUUUUGACUAAGGACCCUUUUGUGUGUCAUGGCGUCAAGUCGACGCUUGGUACAGACAAGGACGACGCCCGUCGUUCACUUAUUCAUCAUCAAAAUCUUUUAUUAAUUAGCGAUGAAAUUUCUCGUCAACACCUACCAAUAGCUUGUUACGUUAAAAACAAGAUUAUUUGUGGUCGCUUAAAAAUUAUCAAGUUUCCUCUUUCCUUUGGUGGCUAAUUGAAGAUAUGAUUUUGUGAUGUGAAGUUGAAGGCCUAAAUUAGAGGCAAGGUCGGGAUCAAUUUAACUGAUUUGUCGAAUAAAAAAUAAUGAAAUAGUGAUUUAUCACUAGAGUUCGGAUUCUUAUGCAGUAAAACGGUUAAAAAUAUACGCUUACAAUGCAGCAUUUAAGAAGAAAAUAUGCAGAAAAGUGCAAUACAAAAAUUAUAACUUUCAUUGCAAUUUAUACUGUAGAUAUACAAAAUAGACUAACAAUUGAUAUAAGCAUAUACCUAAGUAUACAAUUAUUUAGUCACAACCAUUAGUUAUCAUCGAAUGACAUUUAAUAAUGGCAUGUUUUACUAACUUUUGACGACGACCAUUUAUAUCUCUCUACAUCUACAGAAGUAGAAAGAAAAAGCAGAAGAAAAAAGGACAUGUGGCUAGUUUACUUAAAAACGUAUAAUUUGCUUUACUAAACGCUAAUUGUUCUGCUAUUUCUCUUUUAUUAAAUAAAUAUUAACAUUUUAUUAUUCACUCAGAAGAAUCGGCAAAAUCUGGACCAAUAUUUUUAACAAUGCCCAAUGGUUGGCAUAAAAAAUGCCUCUAACCACGUACCGCACUGAUUUUAAAUGCCAAAGUGAAAAGUGAAUGAUAAAAUAAAAAAUAAAACGAAAAAUAAGACAGCUUAUAAAAAAAUAAUUCAUAGUCAGAAAAAUCUUUAUUCAAUUUUGAGACACGAUAUUCUAGGAAAAGUAUCGAACGUGUGAUGGUGGCCGUCCGAUUUAUGCGGACAGUUUCGGGGAUUGUUAUCAAUAUCGAGUGUCGGGCUUGGGCGAAAAACAUCCGUUACAACCGAGCUGAAAGAAUGGGUUCGGUUCACUUCGAGCUUCUGAUCGAUUAGGAUCGCAGUUUUUAAUUUUGUGCCUUUGUGGUAUUAUUAGUUUUUGAGCGAAAUUACGCAUUCCAAAGGGACAGACAGUAAUUUGCUAGUUGGCAGCACUGAUGGACUUGCCAAAGAUCGAUAUUCAAAGUUUGGCAUCUAUUUGUAUUAAUUGUGUUCGUAUUUAAUUAAUUAACAUUAUGUAUAUACGGUUCCACUGUUUAUUUUGUUAUUACUCAGUGUUUUCAAUAAAGAUUUUACUCUUUCA